rnacentral:rRNA from 1 species
AUUGAACGCUGGCGGCAGGCCUCCCACAUGCAAGUCGAGCGGAGCGGCGGACGGGUGGGGAAUGCAUAGGAAUCUGCCUGGUAGUGGGGGAUAACGUCCGGAAACGUGCGCUAAUGCCAAAUCCUAUCACAUGAGCCUAGGUCGGAUUAGCUAGUUGGUGGGGUAAAGGCCUACCAAGGCGACGAUCCGUAACUGGUCUGAGAGGAUGAUCAGUCACACUGGAACUGAGACACGGCCCAGACUCCUACGGGAGGCAGCAGUGGGGAAUUUUGGACAAUGGGGGAAAGCCUGAUCCAGCCAUGCCGCGUGUGUGAUGAAGGCCUUCGGAUUGUAAAGCACUUUAAGCUGGGAAGCGGUACCUACAGAAUAAGCACCGGCUAACUACGUGCCAGCAGCCGCGGUAAUAC